AUUGAACGCUGGCGGCAGGCUUAACACAUGCAAGUCGAGCGGAGCGAGGGUGCUUGCACCUUAGCUUAGCGGCGGACGGGUGAGUAAUGCUUAGGAAUCUGCCUAUUAGUGGGGGACAACAUUCCGAAAGGGAUGCUAAUACCGCAUACGCCCUACGGGGGAAAGCAGGGGAUCUUCGGACCUUGCGCUAAUAGAUGAGCCUAAGUCGGAUUAGCUAGUUGGUGGGGUAAAGGCCUACCAAGGCGACGAUCUGUAGCGGGUCUGAGAGGAUGAUCCGCCACACUGGGACUGAGACACGGCCCAGACUCCGACGGGAGGCAGCAGUGGGGAAUAUUGGACAAUGGGCGGAAGCCUGAUCCAGCCAUGCCGCGUGUGUGAAGAAGGCCUUUUGGUUGUAAAGCACUUUAAGCGAGGAGGAGGCUACUAGUAUUAAUACUACUGGAUAGUGGACGUUACUCGCAGAAUAAGCACCGGCUAACUCUGUGCCAGCAGCCGCCGUAA
rnacentral:rRNA from 1 species